CCUUUGCAGUCUCAAAGACCCAAAAGAGCAGGGCAGGGCUGCAGAACUCCGCUGUUCCCUGUUCGGGGGGUAGACAAAACUGAUGGGUACUGGGUGGAAAGGCCAAAAAAAACCCCAACUUUGGGACAAGUCGUGCGUGUGCACAGGAGAGUGUGGGUGUACGAGCACCCAAAAUGCUGUGGGUGCAUCUCUGUAUGCAGCACAGAGUGACUUUUUCUGCAUCUGAGGGAGGAUUUGCUUGCUGUCCUGUGGUGUGUGUUCACAUGUUGGAUGGGGAGGGAGUUGUGCCUUCACAUGGGUGUGCAAGGCUGCGUCUGACUGGUUUUUGCAUGCUGGCAUCUUGUACCCUGGCUCUCUGGGUUCAGGCAAGGCAGGGUGGGUGGUCACCUGUACACACCCUGAUCAUGAAAUGCCCUUUUCUCUGCCUUUCCCAAAUACCUGGCUGCUGCCUCCUUUCUUGGUGAGCUGGGCUUUACCCUCUUUUUCCCCUGAUCUGCUUCAGGUGGGUGUUGCAGCUGGCUUUCCUGAGUGGGUGCUGCAGAGACCCAGCCACAAGCAUCCCUUUCCACGGGCACUGGGGUCUGCUCUCAGCCUUGGGGGUGUCAGCAGGAGCCACAGAAACCAGACCAAGAGGUCUCUGUGCCACCUUCAGCAGUGGCAUCACUGACAUCCCUGAUGAGAUCUCCCCAUGUCUAAGUGCAUCCUUCAGACAAUGCUCCUGGCUUUGGGAAUACAGUCUGAAUUUCCCCUGGGAAGAGGAAGAGCCCAGCUCCAAGACUGAAGCUUAAUUCCAAUAUAAGGCCAUCAAGAAGUUGAUCAGACAUUUAUUUCCUGCCUCACCAUUGCUCUGCUGUCAAGCUGCACAGGGCAGGAGCUUCUGAGCUGCUUCUAACAAGGGUGAAGAAGAAAAAGCCCAAAAGUCCUGAAACAACCAGAAGUCUGCCAGGUCCGUGGCAGCUUUGGAGAGGGAUUGAUCCAACACAGCCCUUCACCCAAAACAGCCACAGCUCCUUAGGGGAGAGCUGAUGAGAGAUGUUGAUUCAGAACAUCUCUCUGCCUCUUCUCAGCCUGCAUCCUCAAUGUCCCAUGCCCAGCCCAGUGAUAUCCCCACUGCUGACUCCUUGAUGCUGCAGUGCUGUGGAGCCAAACCAGAAUUCUUCCACCCCAAAAAGUUUUCCUCCAGUCAUCCUAUCAUGCUGGUUUGCUUUUGUGCCUGGCCUCAAGCCCUUCUGCACUUGCUGCAGGCAGAGCUGGGUAAGAUCUGCGUGGAGCUGGAGACAGGGAGCACCUGCAGGAUCUCACAUCCCUGUACAGGUGUGGGGGAGAUUUUGGGGGUGUGUGCAGGUAUCGGGGUCUGGAGCCAGACCUGUCCCUCACGAACUCCUACACACUUGGACCAAAGCCCCCUUUUUUCUCUCCUCCCCACACAGAGGUGCAUUAUUACAUCUGUGGGGAUCAGGUAGUCUACAGUCCUUCCAAGCUGUAAACUCAGCAUCAGGGUUUCUUUUAAUCCCAAACAUCUUGAUGUCAUCUGGAAAUGCCACGAGCAGUUUAUAAUUAGGGUUUAGCAUGCAGAUUAAUACCAGCAGCUCCAGGGUGAACAGACCAUCAGAGUCUAAUCAAAGCUUAAAUGGGACAGCAAUUUAGUACUGAGAUUUAUUAUUCCUCUGCACAAUAUUUUGAACCAGAGGCUGAGUUCACGUCACACACAAUCAUUCCUGGAAGUGCUAGCACAUCUCCAGUCAGAGCAAGGUGCCUUGUUACUUGUUCAUGGGGGUGAUAAAUACUUGGCUCUGGGAACUUCUUCAGGAAUAUUGCAGCAUUGACACUGUACAAGAUUUAGAACCUGGGGCAGGAGAACACUUGCACACAUGCUCCAGCCUCAUGUGCAUGGUGGGGCAAGGCCAUGCACUUACAUUUUAUUUUUUUUUUGCUGUGCACCAGGUGUAAUAAGGGAGGUUUCCCAGGAUAGCAGCUGAGGGGUUUAUUUCUGCCACCUCCCCUGGCCACGUGUUGGGGAGGAAGGAUGGAAAGCUUUGUGUUACCCAAGGUGGGGAUGAAGCCACCUCGCAGCAGCAGAACUUUCAUGGGGAACUGGCACUGUGUGGAAGG